rnacentral:rRNA from 1 species
AUUGAACGCUGGCGGCAGGCUUAACACAUGCAAGUCGAGCGGGGUGAGGUGCUUCGGUACUGAUCUUAGCGGCGGACGGGUGAGUAAUGCUUAGGAAUCUGCCUAUUAGUGGGGGACAACAUUCCGAAAGGAAUGCUAAUACCGCAUACGUCCUACGGGAGAAAGCAGGGGAUCUUCGGACCUUGCGCUAAUAGAUGAGCCUAAGUCGGAUUAGCUAGUUGGUGGGGUAAAGGCCUACCAAGGCGACGAUCUGUAGCGGGUCUGAGAGGAUGAUCCGCCACACUGGGACUGAGACACGGCCCAGACUCCUACGGGAGGCAGCAGUGGGGAAUAUUGGACAAUGGGCGGAAGCCUGAUCCAGCCAUGCCGCGUGUGUGAAGAAGGCCUUUUGGUUGUAAAGCACUUUAAGCGAGGAGGAGGCUACCUAGAUUAAUACUCUGGGAUAGUGGACGUUACUCGCAGAAUAAGCACCGGCUAACUCUGUGCCAGCCGCCGCUGUAAAAC